rnacentral:rRNA from 1 species
UACGUAGGUCCCGAGCGUUGUCCGGAUUUAUUGGGUUUAAAGGGUGCGCAGGCGGCGUGUCAAGUCAGCGGUAAAAUGUCAGGGCUCAACCCCGGCCGGCCGUUGAAACUGGCGUGCUCGAGUUGGAGAGAAGUAUGCGGAAUUCGUGGUGUAGCGGUGAAAUGCAUAGAUAUCACGAAGAACCCCGAUUGCGAAGGCAGCAUACCGGCUCCACACUGACGCUGAGGCACGAAAGCGUGGGUAUCGAACAGG